rnacentral:rRNA from 1 species
ACCUUACCUACCCUUGACAUGGAUGGAAUCCUGAAGAGAUUUGGGAGUGCUCGAAAGAGAACCAUCACACAGGUGCUGCAUGGCUGUCGUCAGCUCGUGUCGUGAGAUGUUGGGUUAAGUCCCGCAACGAGCGCAACCCUUGUCAUUAGUUGCUACGAAAGGGCACUCUAAUGAGACUGCCGGUGACAAACCGGAGGAAGGUGGGGAUGACGUCAAGUCCUCAUGGCCCUUAUGGGUAGGGCUUCACACGUCAUACAAUGGUACAUACAGAGGGCCGCCAACCCGCGAGGGGGAGCUAAUCCCAGAAAGUGUAUCGUAGUCCGGAUUGGAGUCUGCAACUCGACUCCAUGAAGUUGGAAUCGCUAGUAAUCGCGGAUCAGCAUG